UGGCAGGAGGUAGGCUGCACUGCAUCCAAAUGAGCAGGGCCUCACCAUGGAAGGCCUGAAGGGGAAACAUAAACUAUUCCAAUGGAAGCUGCAGAGCAGGCUUGAGCUUUAGAACUGAGAAGAGGAAGAACCACUCUGUGGUCAGCCCCAGCCUGAAGGGAAGUUAUAACAUCCAGCUUCCUUCUGUUCCAGACAGGUACAGAUGGAGGCAGUAGCAUAGUAAAACAUCAAAAUCAAGCAUCCAGCAUCUGAAUCCAAACAACACAAAGAACAAGAAACUUUGUGUCCUUUGACCAACAUCUUUUUUUUUCCCCUGUCUACCCUCUUUCCUGCCACCACUCCAGCUCUUGGUUUGGGAGAAGAGAAAGUUGUCAUUAAAUUGACAUCACACAACCACAAGACAACUGGGAAAAGGCAGCAAUCUAUGUCCUUCAGCUUUUGCUAAGAUAUUCAUGCCAUGAUAUUUGGCCUAUAAACUUCUCAUGGCACAGAACCUGCCAGCAGAAAGAUGAAGACACCUGUCCCUAUCUGCAUGCAGAGUCGUAAGCAGUGAUUUUCUAACUUGGCAGUGCUCCUUCGAGUUGACAUUUCCAAAACCACCUAGAGGACCAGGAAAUUCAGUCAGGCUGGCAGCACCAGAGAUAAAAGUGUGACCAAUGCAAGAAGAGAAGUAAAUUGGUAAGAGAAGCACAAACGAAGCUGAUCUGACAAGAAUAUACAAAUAUGGGAGAAACAGUGAAAUCUGACCUAGCUUUUGAACAAUGAAAAAAAGAAAGUGGUGAAAGUUGUUCUAGGCUAGCAAAUAGCAUAAACCAAGAGAGAAGAUGUAAAAUGUCAGGGAUUUUCAGGGAAAUUCCGUAUAAAAGCUGAUUUGCUGGAAUGCCAGAAAAACUCACAUGACCUAAGAUGUAGACAAUAACUCAAUAUUUAUACUUCCAAUGUUUUGUGCUCUUUUUGUCUUCACUGACAAUGAACUAUCCGCCAAAAAGCUUGGUAAGAUUGUAGGCUGCUUUAUAUGGCUCUGGGUUUUUAAAAGUCCAAUAAAAAAACAAUGUUUUUGGAUAUAGUUGAACAGCUGCUGUAAGGAAUAAGAUUAGCAAAUAAGUUCAAAUGUGCUGCUGAGGGUUAUUUAAUGCAUUAUAUCAGUGUUAAUUAAGGUAUUAUUAAAAGACUGACUGUUGCCUCUUGUAUUCCUAGAAUUUACACACACACACUUCAUUAAUCUUUGCCCUCCCUGUGGGAUAAGCCACUGCACCUGUUCAUCUUCAUAAGCAUUGGUUUUCCCUGCAAUAUCGCUGGCAUGCAGCUCAAGACAAGCAUGGAUGAUAUGCAGUAGAUCAAAGAGGAAACAUCCUGGCAUUGAUAGGGAUUUUACUUUCUCUUCAUUUUGGUGAUAAACCCUGGCCUUUUUAAAAUUGCUAUUGGAAUAUAAUCCUAAGACAUACUCAUGAAAUUCCUUUUACCAUCAUCAGUAUCAAACAUCCAUUUUGUGUACCAGGCAUAUUUGCCAACAUUUAGAAUUUAAAACAUGUGACAGUUGUACAAGUUUGGGGAGGAUGUCUCUAUUUUACACCAUGGAAAAUAUGGCUGAUCAGAGAACACAUGAAACAGAUAAGUAAAAUAUUGGCAAUGUAGACAAACAACAGUAUCAUGUGCAGAGGAUUAUUUGUAAACAUGGGAAACAGAAUCUAUCUAGAGAUUCUUCGAGGUAAGACUUUAGAGCUUUGAAGGAUAAAAUAAAUAAAAAGUAAUAAUAGUUAUCUUUAUGGAAGACGUACUCCAUCAGACACUAUUGGUAUGAACUUAAGAUAUAUUAUUUCACGUAAUUGCUAUCGGUAUUUAUUUAAAGUCAAAAUUUUCCUUUAUAGUUGUAAAGCCUAAACUCCAAUGAUUAAUUGUUUUGCCCACUGUCUCACAGCUAGUAAGCAGCAGAACUAGAUUCAAAUGUUAAGGGAAUCUACAUCUACAGACUGUGCUCUUAGUGACUAUGUUGAAUUAUUUCUUUAUUUGAUAACAACUGGCUACUAGAAGAAUUCCAACCAUAACUUUCAAUCAAAAUAAUUGACUGGACUUUCAGGGAUUGUAAACACAGAUUACAUGCAUCAUGAUAUUUUGCUUCUGUGAUGAUUGGCUUAUUAACAUGUAGUUGCUAGUAGCAUGAAUUUCAAGGCAGAUUGGGAGGCUAAGGAGUAAUAUCUUGUCAUUCAGGAAGAGUUUACAGGGAAAAUACUUGAGUUCCCCAAGCUCCAGUUUGGUCCUCAAUUUUGUCGUGUCUGUUCAAAAGUGAUCAAUCUUUUGAUUCAGAGGGAUUCAUUCUGAAGAGAUAACUGUGCCCAUUUAAUAAUGCUAUGUUAAAUGCAAUUGUAAAUCUUACGAGGAUGGCCCAAGUUAGCUGAGCAGCAUGUUCUUGUCCUAUAGCAUACAGUAAUAAAAGAAACUAAAUUAUCAUCUGAAAGCUGCUUAAUAUUCAUGGAAUAUUAGUAUUAGCAAAAGGAGUUGAAUCAACGUGUCCAUCUUUUGGAAUAUACCUUUCAAGUAGAUAGAAUGCAAAUGAUCAGGGCACAAGGCCUCUCCCAGAACAAAGGGAAACGCACUGACAAAAAUCUUGCUUUUAGCCUCCUAUUCAUUCUGGGCUUUAAACAGGUCACUUAAUUCAUUUGAAAAGUUGCAACUUUCAGAAACAUUCAAAUUCUAAUUGUACAUUUUUGAAGUUAUGUUCUUGUCAUUAUGAUUGUACCCAAAUGGUUGCACAUUUUUAAUGUGUCAUAAAGUGCAUUGUUUCCAUGGAUAUCAAACUCCAUUUGUUUCUGGAUACUUUUUAAGAAUGGCUUCCUCAAGAGCAAACACAUUCGAAAGCUAGCAGAAGGCAAGAAAUAACUAAGAUCAGAGCAGAACUGAAGGAGAU